UACUUACCCUGUUGAGUAGCUUCCUGAUUCGUCAUACCUGUAUUCCUAGUUUUCUAGUUUACUCGUGUUCAAGUCUGCGCAUCCCUAAUACCUCUGUCUCUCUACCAGUCAUCAUCAUCACAACUAUACUUCAACCCUGCUCUACUGCCGGAGUACCAUCACCAUGGAAUCAUCGGGCGUGACUGUCGGUUCGGCUGCCAGCCGACUCAUCCAACCCCGGUUCGGACAACCCGGUCCGUGGAUUCCCCUAACGGACGCAACCACCAGCACCAACUGUGGACUAAUAGACUGUUCAACUGUCUCCGCUCUCGUCUGCGGUCAUUUGUGCCGUGCGUUUGGGUCCACCCCGUCUUGAGCCGUAACACUCACACAUCAGCAGGUGUCCCGUAAGGCCUGGUAAGACGGUGUGAUACAGUGUCCCUCCCCAACUACUACAGGUGAUCUGGCUGUUAAUCGGGCUUUUGUUCUUUGUAGUUUUCCAAACAGCUGUGCCUUCAGGGUGGUUAUGAAGAUCACACAAGGCCUUCUCAACCCCAAACCUCCUAACCUAAGGAAAAAAGGAGAAAUCAUACGAAGAGCGCAUGAAUAACCUCAUCUCGAGUGAUGACACUGUCACCUUGCUGCCCACAUAGGAGAUUACAGGUUUGACGUCCUCACCCGCGAGACUGUGAAGAGAGAAAAGAGGGCACCCCGGCCGCAGAACUAGAGGGGGCGUAACAAUGGCUGGAGGCUCAACAGGAGCUUAAACCUCUCAAUCCAAUGAGACGGCGGGACCCUUGGACCUAGAUGAGCCCUCAAUAGAACAGGACAGGACACUGAUUAUGUGGAAUUCAGUUCUUCCAAUAUUGUAAAGUUACGGCUAACAUACUACAAAUUACAUACUGUAGAAGUGCAUAUUUAUUUCUCAAACACACACCAACAGUCACAAACACAUGCGGGCACUCACACAUACACACACACACACGCGCACACGCACAUACACAUACACAGCACACAUACGCACACGCACACACACACACACACACACACACACAAAUGCAUGCUCUAAUGCAAAUAUGAUUCACUGGAGAAUCCCACUAGAAUAGAGCUCCAAUGUGAACAUAAACACAAUUUACUGUUCUCCUUAGUGUACUAACUGUGACACAGAAAACUAGACAGAACAUGCAACAAACAUCCCCGAAAUCUUACAUUUUUAGCUCCUUGAGAGGAAAUAUUCUGACAGCUGUAUUUUUUAGCUUUAUAUAAAUAUGUAAAUAUUUGGUUAUGGCCAUUCUGCUUUCAAGUGAGACAAGGUAAUAGCAUCCAAUCAUGGCGGGUCAGAGUAAUUACAGAGAGGAGGCAGGAGUAGGGCCAGGAGGUCAGAGACAAGACUUUGUUCUCACAUCAGAUUACCGCCUGCUACAAGCUGACCUUGUGCUAAAGGUUAGCGUUAGCACCGCGGCGUCCCUAUCUGGCUCCAGAACGUCUUUUUACAUGCUUCUAUUUCAGAGUCAUAAGGGGUUUUAACGAGACAAGGCCAUUCUCGGCCCACAAAACGUUCAAGUGAUGGCACGCGUACUUACAUGGGUGGAAGGGUUCGUAAGGGCCGACACGACUGGAAGAGUUUAAAAGAUAAGGAGAUUUGAGUCCAGCGGUGGAGGUUUUGAAGCAUGUUAGAUGCCAUUAAAUGUUUUGUUGUUACUGCGUAGUCGGUAUCCCAAGGGAGUUAUCAAUAAAUAUUUCAAGUUGUUGUUUUGAUUGUUGUUGGAUCAAAAGAGAUGUUGAAACACUGCCAUUGAUAAUUUAUUUCCAAGAAGGGAAAUUAUUAUGAGUCAUAAAAAUAAGUUGAAAAAGUCAACUGUAAUAGAAAAGUGAAAGUGGGCUUGGCUGAAAUCCACUUCAUAAUUCUAAUUACAUACGCAUGAACAAAGUUUCACAACAUGUGGUUUACAUUGCUAUUGAGGAUUCAUCGUUUAUAAUCUAUAUGUAAUAAUCAUUAAACAAUAUAUUGGGCAAUAAUUCACAGUAUGCCAACAACAAAUGUGUUCCAUUUACAUAAUUAAAUUAUUUUGAGAAUGUGUUUUUUUUUUUUUAUUCAGGCAAAUUAUCUGUGACAAGCAUAAACCCUAAGGUUUAUUAACAUGAGAUACCUGAACUUAGUUCAAGCACAAUGUACAACUGGGAAUAUAUAUUAAUGCACAUGUUGUCCAUUACAAACCAUUACCAACUAACUGCAGUAUUUAUGAAUUUAUGAUUUAUGAACAACCAAGCCAUUUCCUCCACUUAAUACUGUUUCCAUACUUUCAUCAAGCAGCUGAUUAUCUAAACAAGCCGGACCA